GACGAACGCUGGCGGCGUGCCUAAUACAUGCAAGUCGAACGAGAGCGACCGGUGCUUGCACUGGUCAAUGUAGAGGCGAACGGGUGAGUAGAACGUGGGUAACAUGCCCAUCAGAGGGGGAUAACAUACGGAAACGGAUGCUAAAACCGCAUAGGUCCUCGAACGGCGUGGUUGGAAGAGGAAAAGGGGCGCAAGCUUACGCUGAUGGAAGGACCCGCGGGGCAUUGGCGAGUUGGAGAGGUAACGGCUCACCAAGGCCGUGAUGCAGAGCCGACCUGCGAGGGGGUUCGGCCACAUUGGGACUGAGCCACGGCCCUGACUCCUACGGGAGGCACCAGUAGGGAAUCUUGCGCAAUGGGCGCAAGUCUGACGGAGCAGCGCCGCGUGGGUGAAGAAGGUUUUCGGAUCGUAAAACUCUGUUGUGAGUGAAGAAUGAGUUCAAGAGGAACGGUUCGCUCCUUGACGGUAUCUACCCAGAAAGCAACGGCUAACUACGUG
rnacentral:rRNA from 1 species